CCCUUAGAGUUUGAUCAUGGCUCAGAUUGAACGCUGGCGGCAGGCCUAACACAUGCAAGUCGAGCGGUAACAGAAAGUAGCUUGCUACUUUGCUGACGAGCGGCGGACGGGUGAGUAAUGCUUGGGAACAUGCCUUGAGGUGGGGGACAACAGUUGGAAACGACUGCUAAUACCGCAUAAUGUCUACGGACCAAAGGGGGCUUCGGCUCUCGCCUUUAGAUUGGCCCAAGUGGGAUUAGCUAGUUGGUGAGGUAAUGGCUCACCAAGGCGACGAUCCCUAGCUGGUUUGAGAGGAUGAUCAGCCACACUGGGACUGAGACACGGCCCAGACUCCUACGGGAGGCAGCAGUGGGGAAUAUUGCACAAUGGGCGCAAGCCUGAUGCAGCCAUGCCGCGUGUGUGAAGAAGGCCUUCGGGUUGUAAAGCACUUUCAGUCAGGAGGAAAGCGUGGUGGUUAAUACCCAUCAUGUGUGACGUUACUGACAGAAGAAGCACCGGCUAACUCCGUGCCAGCAGCCGCGGUAAUACGGAGGGUGCGAGCGUUAAUCGGAAUUACUGGGCGUAAAGCGUACGCAGGCGGUUUGUUAAGCGAGAUGUGAAAGCCCCGGGCUCAACCUGGGAACUGCAUUUCGAACUGGCAAACUAGAGUGUGAUAGAGGGUGGUAGAAUUUCAGGUGUAGCGGUGAAAUGCGUAGAGAUCUGAAGGAAUACCGAUGGCGAAGGCAGCCACCUGGGUCAACACUGACGCUCAUGUACGAAAGCGUGGGGGAGCAAACGGGAUUAGAUACCCCGGUAGUCCACGCCGUAAACGAUGUCUACUAGAAGCUCGGAGCCUCGGUUCUGUUUUUCAAAGCUACGCAUUAAGUAGACCGCCUGGGGAGUACGGCCGCAAGGUUAAAACUCAAAUGAAUUGACGGGGGCCCG
rnacentral:rRNA from 1 species